AAGAUCCUGCGAUGUACGUGAGGCCACGAAUGUUUCUAACCUUAUGAGUGUUUCGAGGGAGACAGAACUUCGCGCCGUAUGUCAGGCCCACCUCCCGUCUUGGGACGCAUGGGAAGGCAGAAACGCGGACGGGUCACCCACCUGUGUGAGAGCAGGUUACAGAAACAUGAGGCCGGACGGCAGAGCGGGGGCUUU
rfam:Bacillus sp. WF146 contig081, whole genome shotgun sequence.